GUAGGUGGCAAGCGUUGUCCGGGAAUUAUUGGGGCGUAAAGCGCGCGCAGGCGGUUCGUUUAAGUCUGAUGUGAAAGCCCACGGGCUCAACCGUGGAGGGUCAUUGGAAACUGGAGAACUUGAGUACAGAAGAGGAAAGCGGAAUUCCACGUGUAGCGGUGAAAUGCGUAGAGAUGUGGAGGAACACCAGUGGCGAAGGCGGCUUUCUGGUCUGUAACUGACGCUGAGGCGCGAAAGCGUGGGGAGCAAACAGGAUUAGAUACCCUGGUAGUCCACGCCGUAAACGAUGAGUGCUAAGUGUUAGGGGGUUUCCGCCCCUUAGUGCUGCAGCUAACGCAUUAAGCACUCCGCCUGGGGAGUACGGCCGCAAAGGCUG
rnacentral:rRNA from 1 species